UUGCUGUGAACAGAGAUGUGGAUGGAAAGAAUAUGAGAUUUAAUUGGACCGCUGGAUCACGUGCAAAGCUGUACUGUAAAUUUUUAAACGUACAGUUGCAUUGUGGGAUAUUAACCGACCGGCAGGAGGCGACUUUUCGCGGGCGACAAAGCGGGGCCAAAAGGGACUUUCACCGGAGAUGUGCUACAGCUGCAGAUCUUGAAGGAACACACAGCCUGCCGCCAAGUCCAUGACUCAUUGCCCUUGGAGACGGCUUUACCUUUGACCAAUGGAUGAUGAGCGUUGAGGGUGAAAUUGUUUCUGAGGGGACUCAACCUCCUGGCUGGUCUUGCAGCACUUUUUGCCACCUUCUAUGUAUUUAACCGUGAGUAUCCAGAGGAGGCGACAUGCACACUGGAGUUUAUUCAAAGGCGGGUUUUUAGGCCUCAACCCUGAAAGAGGAACAAAAGCAGCAAAAGGAAAAGUGACAUCGAAAACAACAGGAAGACUUGUUCAAAAGAAACAGAUGGCAGUGAACCCACAUCUCCACUCUCCUCUGCCAAAUCAUAGACUACCAGUGGAACUUUUAAAAUGCAACCCUUUGAUGAAUUAUUUGGAUCAGCAGCAGGAUCUGGAUCAGUCUACCUUAUUUUCAGAGGUGUGUUCAGGACUCAUUACCUGUUCUCGUUGGUUUUGUUUGGCUGUUCACAACGUUUUAAACUGGCUGACAUUUUAAAGAUGUACCAGCAUGGUUCUUAUGCAGUGUGUAUGUGAUUUAAAUAUUUUACAGUUCUGGAUUAGUUUGAUGGAGACAACAGAGUAUUGAAAUUGCUUAUAUUCCUAAACUUUAUUCCCUGUUGCACUGUCCAUUAUUUUUCCAUCCAUCCGGUCUGGAAAUUUUACAUUACAAGCUUGUAAGGCUUUGUUCUUAUGCCUUUGGUUGACGAGCUGGGUUUUUUGUGUGUAACUUUUAACCUUUGGCACUUCUACUUUUCUGGUUAUUUAACAUCUUGUGUGCAUUAUAUUAUAACCAUGGGAGUUAUGCAUUUAAAACGGUGUAUGAAUGUAUAUUUUUCAGUCAAUUCUUGAGUAUUUUUACAUUCAGGUUGCAAUACCUUUUGACAUUUAUGUCAAAAGCAAAUGUUGCUGUUCUUUAAAAAUGUAAUAUUUUGUUACACUGCUGUGUGUCGGUUUUAAACAUUAACACUGAAAUAAAGUAUAUUUAAAAUGUA